GUGGGGAAUUUUGGACAAUGGGCGCAAGCCUGAUCCAGCAAUGCCGCGUGCAGGAAGAAGGCCUUCGGGUUGUAAACUGCUUUUGUACGGAACGAAAAGGCUCUGGUUAAUACCUGGGGCUCAUGACGGUACCGUAAGAAUAAGCACCGGCUAACUACGUGCCAGCAGCCGCGGUAAUACGUAGGGUGCAAGCGUUAAUCGGAAUUACUGGGCGUAAAGCGUGCGCAGGCGGUUUUGUAAGACAGGCGUGAAAUCCCCGGGCUCAACCUGGGAAUGGCGCUUGUGACUGCAAGGCUGGAGUGCGGCAGAGGGGGAUGGAAUUCCGCGUGUAGCAGUGAAAUGCGUAGAUAUGCGGAGGAACACCGAAGGCGAAGGCAAUCCCCUGGGCCUGCACUGACGCUCAUGCACGAAAGCGUGGGGAGCAAACAGGAUUAGAUACCCCUGUAGUCC
rnacentral:rRNA from 1 species